rnacentral:rRNA from 1 species
CCUACGGGAGGCUGCAGUAGGGAAUCUUCCACAAUGGACGAAAGUCUGAUGGAGCAACGCCGCGUGUGUGAUGAAGGGUUUCGGCUCGUAAAACACUGUUGUAAGAGAAGAAUGACAUUGAGAGUAACUGUUCAGUGUGUGACGGUAUCUUACCAGAAAGGAACGGCUAAAUACGUGCCAGCAGCCGCGGUAAUACGGAUGUUCCAGGCGUUAUCCGGGUUUAUUGGGCGUAAAGCGAGCGCAGACGGUUGUUUAAGGCCGAAGUGAAAGCCCUGUGCUUAAAUGUGGAAUUGCUUUGGAAACUGGAUAACUUGAGUGCAGUAGAGGAGAGUGGAACUCCAUGUGUAGCGGUGAAAUGCGUAGAUAUAUGGAGGAACACCAGUGGCGAAGGCGGCUCUCUGGACUGUAACUGACGUUGAGGCUCGAAAGCGUGGGUAGCAAACAGGAUUAGAUACCCCAGUAGUC